AUUGAACGCUGGCGGCAGGCUUAACACAUGCAAGUCGAGCGGAGAUGAGGUGCUUGCACCUUAUCUUAGCGGCGGACGGGUGAGUAAUGCUUAGGAAUCUGCCUAUUAGUGGGGGACAACAUUCCGAAAGGAAUGCUAAUACCGCAUACGCCCUACGGGGGAAAGCAGGGGAUCUUCGGACCUUGCGCUAAUAGAUGAGCCUAAGUCGGAUUAGCUAGUUGGUGGGGUAAAGGCCUACCAAGGCGACGAUCUGUAGCGGGGCUGAGAGGAUGAUCCGCCACACGGGGGCAGAGACACGGCCCAGACUCCUACGGGAGGCAGCAGUGGGGAAUAUUGGACAAUGGGCGGAAGCCUGAUCCAGCCAGGCCGCGUGUGUGAAGAAGGCCUUUUGGUUGUAAAGCACUUUAAGCGAGGAGGAGGCUACCUGGAUUAAUACUCUAGGAUAGUGGACGUUACUCGCAGAAUAAGCACCGGCUAACUCUGUGCCAGCAGCCGCCGUAAAAC
rnacentral:rRNA from 1 species